GAUGAACGCUGGCGGCGUGCCUAAUACAUGCAAGUCGAGCGAACGGACGAGAAGCUUGCUUUUCUGAUGUUAGCGGCGGACGGGUGAGUAACACGUGGAUAACCUACCUAUAAGACUGGGAUAACUUCGGGAAACCGGAGCUAAUACCGGAUAAUAUUUUGAACCGCAUGGUUCAAAAGUGAAAGACGGUCUUGCUGUCACUUAUAGAUGGAUCCGCGCUGCAUUAGCUAGUUGGUAAGGUAACGGCUUACCAAGGCAACGAUGCAUAGCCGACCUGAGAGGGUGAUCGGCCACACUGGAACUGAGACACGGUCCAGACUCCUACGGGAGGCAGCAGUAGGGAAUCUUCCACAAAGGGCGAAAGCCUGACGGAGCAACGCCGCGUGAGUGAUGAAGGUCUUCGGAUCGUAAAACUCUGUUAUUAGGGAAGAACAUAUGUGUAAGUAACUGUGCACAUCUUGACGGUACCUAAUCAGAAAGCCACGGCUAACUACGUG
rnacentral:rRNA from 1 species